UCUUCAUUUUUCUAAUUAAAUCUUCUUCUAUGACUGAUAAUGUUUUAAUUGAUGAUUUAUUCAUUAUGUAUUUUCGUAGACAAGGUUGCAAGCUCAGGCAGCAGGAGUUCCUUACCAAGGUCUAUCUAUGUGGAACGGCGUGUUUUGAAUCGAAUACGAUGUUUCCAGACGUGAAAAACACCAUAGGCACCUGCAGAGAGCAUCAUCUGUGGGAUAGUUUCGCAGGAACGAUCAGAUGUAAACCGUGCCUCCCAGUUUACUUCAAAUUUGAACCAAGUGGUCCGAUCAUUUUUGUUUU